rnacentral:lncRNA from 1 species
ACAGGGGUGUGGCUAACUUGUAAGGUGGGGAACGUCGCAGUGCCUGGGCUGGGCACUGGUCACCCGUUCCCCGUAAGGUUCUGUAGCUGGAGCGCGACGCUGGAGGUCAGAGCUGUGGGGAGGUGCGGAGUCUCCUGUCACUGCCCUCUUUUGCCGCCAUCUUGGUGGUUGGUUGAGGGCUGUCGCGAAGGAGCAGCCGCAUCAGGUCGCGGUUGUCCAUCAGCAGCUGCAUCAGCUCCGUGGGACAGCCCUGUCUUCGAUGGCGGCGGGGCCCCGCACGGCCCGAAGGGCUCUGGAGAUUCCGCUGCAAGGCAAAGCACAGGGAUCCCCAUGGAAGAGGCAGAGGGGCAGAGCGGGGCCGGCACCUGUGGGGCUGCCUUUGGCCUGGGAGACAGAGACUCGGGCCCAGUUGGGCUGGGCUGGCCCGGGGAAGAGGCUGCAGCAGGCAGAGCUCUGCCGCCUCUGCUUGGUGCUGUCCAUGGAGCUCAGCCCCUGGGCCGCAUUCCCCAGCCAGGAGCUCAGGCCCCUUCUGCCGCAGGGCAUUGGCCAAAGGGUGCCCAAGAGGCCCUCAAGGUCUGCCCCAUCCCGCCUGCCUGACCCCCCACCCCCUGCCUCACCUCUCUCCAGCAUCUCUGAAUUCUUCUUCCGAGCGACCAUCCCAUGGCCAUUCCAAUGAUGAGCAGGUCAAUGAGCAGAAACGUCCUGGCCGCCCACCGGAUGCGCUCAGGAUCCGACUCGACCAGAUGGCAAUCCUCCAGAAGCAGAGGAGAGGCAUCCGUGCUGCGCUCAGGUUUGCUCACAGGGUCGAGGGGAUGAGCCAAGAGCAGCAGCACGUAAAGCUGCAGCAGCGCGGAGGAGCCGUGAGCAGCCAUAGUGCUCUGCCAGCAGCACCGAGGCUCUGGGCGUCUCUCUGCGAGCAGCUGUGCCUGGGCACUGGGGCGCAGCAACAGCUGGGGACAGUUGCCAGCCAGCGUGCCGUCCCCAGAGGCUGUGAUGUCACAGAAGCACAGAACGCCCUGGCUGCAGAGAGCCCUGAGAGAAUGUUGAGUCCAAGCUGGGAGCCAUGGCGGCAAGCAUGGCCAGCAGAGCGGGGCCCGAGCGCUG